GUAGGUGCAAGGGCAAAGCAGAGAGUUAAUUGGAAAGAGCAGAGGCUGUUGCAGAACGCAACAGUGAGUGAUGCAGCCACUCAGCAGGAGAGAAAGUUGCCUCAGAGAGAACUAUGAAGUCUUUCUUCAGCAAACAGAAGUGAGUACUGCAGUAAUGGUUUAUUACUUGUCCAGAGUGCUACUUCAUCACUUGUACAGAUUUAAUUUGGAUGUCUUUCCUUUCCAUAGCAUAAUUAAAAGAAGGCUCUCUGUUCCAGUCCAAAAUCCAGGAUUUUUUUAAAGUUGGCUCCAUCUAUUUAUAAAACACUUUUACAUGUCCUUGUUCAUUUUAUUUUCACAAAAUCUUCCCCAUAAGUAAAAUGCAAAAUGACCAGUUUCCCUUUCUGCCUCUCAAAAAUGAAUGGAAAACAAAUUGUUUCGCUUUUCUAUUCUGCUGGAUUUUUGAGUGUGAAAAGAAGGGAAGGGAGAGCCAGAGCUGGGCUUCAUUUCGUGGGGACAUGGGCACAUCUCAUACAGAACUCCCUCAGUCAGAUCAGAGGCAACAAUACACAUUCUGCACUUUGUUCUGGAUUAUAAGGUCUACAGCCCCAUUCUCCCUUUGCAGGAGGGAGCACAGAGCCAGCACCUUUGAAGCGUAUCUCCAGCAAUCCUUUAUCUACUGCCACUUAUAGCUUUGACCACGGAUGUCUAUGGUUUUGGGUAGAACUACAAUUUCUAAAACAGUUAGUUGCAAACUAAAGAAGGCUCUGACCACUAUACAGUCUAUCUGACAUGGGUUUUAUAACAGAUGUGAAGACCAGGGCUGUACUGUGAGCUUGACAAAGAUGUGUGCUGAAGGUAGAAGAGCUACUGUGCUUGUAUCAAGAGAUGCUUUUGAGGAAAUUUCACUUGUCUGCCAGUUAAAUUGUUUUGUCAUAAUUAAGCUUAGAGGUAACAUUUGUGUCUAGGUCUGUGCCUGAGGAAGAAGAGCAGAGUCUGAUGGCUGGCUUUGAACACAAGAAACUGUUUUAUACCAGCUGGGCUGAGCAACGGUUGAUCACACUGGGAUGCCAAAGGCUUUCCUGGAACUUCAACUUCAUGAACUGCAAGAACUGAACACAGGUCAAGAAGACGAUGGAUUUUCUCUCUCUUUCCAAGAGGUGCAACUCUACUCAGUGGAGCAUGUCCUUUCCCAGGCCUCCAAGAUCAACUUAGUUAGCUGCAGGCUAGCUUUGAGACAUGGGAAAAGUCAAUAUCAAGCAACAGGGUUUCCACCUUUUGGCAAUCCAUGAAAGCAAUGUACAAUACAUGUACUCAUCUCCCUCACUAUUUCCAUGGCUGUUAGACUAUUUUUACUAUCUGGUUCCAAGAACAAAUAGACAUAAAUGUAGUUCUAGGAACUAUAGAGCACAACAACCAGGGGGAUCUGUACUCAUCACUAGCACAGCAGCUGAAAUAGCAGAGAAAGAUAGGGACACAGGAAGAAAUGGGAAUGUCCAAGUGAGAAAGAAAAAACAAAGUAUGAAGGGAAAAGCAAAAGAGGAACAAAGAGGCACACAUAGGAGAUGGAGAGAGCAGUGAUCACAACUGAGACAGCCCAUGUUUAUGGUCAAUAUUUAUACUUAUUCUGAGCACGUAUAAGCAAAAAUUUUAGAGCAGAACAGGAGGACAUCCUCUAACUUACAGCCAAAGACCAUCCUCACAUUCUGCUGCCUCAGUGCAGAGAGUGCAAGUUCAGGUACCAAGGGCUGUUGAGAAACAGUACACUCCAAGGCCUGGAUGGCUGGCUGCACCACAACAGCUGUACGCUGCACCUGUCAUCUUCUGGAGAGCAUGAGGUUCUAGGCAUUCAGAUACCCCUCUGAUAAGGAGGGUCUGUGCCUCGACUUUAAUGCUACUCAGGAAACAGCAAACACCUGCAUCUCUCUAAGCACUGGAGACUGGUAGAGGAGCUGCACUAUCUUCCUGUUCAGGUAAAUAUGCUGUAAUUUCAGAGUAUGCUUGGCAGAACCUUUCUAAUAACUUUAAAUAACUGUUGUUUUUUUUUUGUCACAAGAUAAGGAAGCCUGAGUUAAACAAGGGAUACUUCAUACAGUGCAACAAGCAAGAAUAUUUCUAGAGAAAGAAUGAAAGCCUCCAAAAAAAA